rnacentral:tRNA from 1 species
GGAGAGGUACCGAAGCGGUCAAACGGGGCAGGCUGUAAACCUGUUGCCUUCGGGCUACGGAGGUUCGAAUCCUCCCCUCUCCACCG